UACGGGGGGGGCAAGCGUUGUUCGGAAUUACUGGGCGUAAAGGGUGCGUAGGCGGCUUUCUAAGUUGGAUGUGAAAACUCUGGGCUCACCCAGAGCCUGCAUCCAAAACUGGAGAGCUUGGGUUCUGGAGGGGAAAGCGGGAAGUUCCUGGUGUGAGCGGUGAAAUGCGUAGAUAUCAGGAGGAACACCGGUGGCGAAGGCGGCUUCUGGACGAGAUACCGACGCUGGAGGCACGAAAGCUAGGGGAGCAAACAGG
rnacentral:rRNA from 1 species